CCUGGCGCGCUCUGUGCUCUGGCUGGCUGCUCCUUUGGGGUCCCUGCCUUCCCUCUGCCGCCUGAUCGUGGUUUGGGUGCAGUUUGGGUUCUCCUCCCACUUCUGGGCUCUCUUCUGCUACUCUCUGGAAGCGGCCCUGCUGCUGCAGAACCCCACCAGCCACAGGUCCUUGACUCCUUACGGCCUCCUCUGCUGGGGGCUGCCAGCCAUCCAGGUCCUCCUUGGACUCUUGCUCCUGACGAAGCCCCAGG